rnacentral:rRNA from 1 species
CGCCCAUACCGAGCCGGUGAUACUAACCGUCCAAACCGUGCAUCCGUGCCCUUCGGGGCCAGUAUGUGCGGGGCGCGCGGGACCUGAACCGGGGAGGUAAGCGUAUUAACA